rnacentral:rRNA from 1 species
GGAGAAAGCAGGGGAUCGCAAGACCUUGCGCUUUUGGAGCGGCCGAUGCCUGAUUAGCUUGUUGGUAAGGUAAAAGCUUACCAAGGCUUCGAUCAGUAGCUGGUCUGAGAGGACGGCCAGCCACACUGGGACUGAGACACGGCCCAGACUCCUACGGGAGGCAGCAGUGGGGAAUUUUGGACAAUGGGGGCAACCCUGAUCCAGCCAUGCCGCGUGAGUGAAGAAGGCCUUCGGGUUGUAAAGCUCCUUCAGCCGGAACGAAACGGUCACGGUUAAUACCCGUGACUAAUGACGGUACCGGAAGAAGAAGCACCGGCUAACUACGUGCCAGCAGCCGCGGUAAUACGUAGGGUGCGAGCGUUAAUCGGAAUUACUGGGCGUAAAGCGUGCGCAGGUGGUUUUGUAAGUCAGAUGUGAAAUCCCCGGGCUCAACCUGGGAACUGCGUUUGAAACUACAAAGCUAG